rnacentral:rRNA from 1 species
UGGGGAAUUUUGCACAAUGGGGGAAACCCUGAUGCAGCGACGCCGCGUGAUUUAGAAGGCCUUCGGGUUGUAAAAAUCUUUUCUAUGGGAAGAAAAUGACAGUACCAUAGGAAUAAGGACCGGCAAAUUACGUGCCAGCAGCCGCGGUAAUACGUAAGGUCCGAGCGUUGUCCGGAAUCAUUGGGCGUAAAGGGUACGUAGGCGGGUAAGCAAGUUAGAAGUGAAAUCCUAUAGCUCAACUAUAGUAAGCUUUUAAAACUGCUCAUCUUGAGGUAUGGAAGGGAAAGUGGAAUUCCUAGUGUAGCGGUGAAAUGCGCAGAUAUUAGGAGGAGUACCGGUGGCGAAGGCGACUUUCUGGCCAUAACCUGACGCUGAGGUACGAAAGCGUGGGUAGCAAACAGG